rnacentral:lncRNA from 1 species
AGACCAAUGAGUCCAGUUAGUCUAUGGAGCACAGCAAACCCGGUAUUAAUUAUGAUCAUGUCAACAAAUAAGGCUCUCAUCUUACAGUAGACUCUGGGAAGGUGGCCUUGGCUAACCUUUAUGAUGAUCUGGACACUUUUUAUGUUUACUUUCUUGGCUUAAGUUCUAUCCUAUCAAAUGUUACUCUUCAGAUGAUUAGAAUAUAAGAAACACUGUGUGUCUUUAAAAGGUCUGUCCGUCUCGGCUGUUCCUGGAGCCCUUGGUCCUCUCACACUUACUUCCUCUGCUGUCAGUGGAAGGAUGGCCAUUCCUGGGGCAAGUGGUAUACCAGGGAAUUCCGUUCUGCUGGUCACCAACCUCAAUCCUGACGUGAGUGGAAAAAUGCUCUUAAGUCUGAGAAGUGGGAUGGUGGCUCUUAUAAUGCUUAAGUUUGUUUUGAGGAAUUUAAUAAAAAUUAUCAAUAGGCUAUAUAGAAGUAUAAAUAGUACUGUAACAGAAUAAACUGUCUUUAUUAUAUUAUAAAUAGCUGUUUUUAAGUUGUGCUAUAUUUAGUUAUAUUUUAUGUUAUCCUUUUCAGUUUAUCACACCACAUGGGCUUUUUAUCCUAUUUGGUAAGUUUUAAAAAAUUUUUUUAAAUAUUAUCUGUGGUUAUUUAUUUAGAAAUACCUGUUUAUAGAGUGGAGACUGGGAAGGGGGACAGCAUUUGAAAUUAAAUAAUAACAUAACUGAUUAAUAAG